UCCCUAGAUCGCCUUGAUUAAAGUGUGGCAAGCUGCAGGAUCAACCAGACCUCCCUUAUUAUCAACUCUAUCUGAAACCUUCAUUGUCUUCAUGGCCUUGUCUUAGCUGCAAAGAGACUGCACAUAUCGUGGUGAACAAAAUGGGAAUGUCGAACAACCCAUGAUCAAAGCUUUUCUUCAGCAUCGUUUAGUUUUGAACUACAUCGCCCUCCCUCUUGACAACAAGGCUAGCUCCUCCCCCCACAAUUUGUCACAAAAUAUUGCAGCUCAUUUAGUUUGACGUCGAGUCACUAGCUUACGAGAGUUAUUAACUUUAUCGCUCAGAAAUUCUAUUUAUCAGGUAGACAUC
rnacentral:lncRNA from 1 species